rnacentral:sRNA from 1 species
GUUUGUGAGGGCAAGAAGGGGCAGGUAUAA